rnacentral:lncRNA from 1 species
AACUGAAAAUAAAGGAAUACUACAGGAAGUGGGGGCAGUGGAUUAAAAUGUCACAACUGGAAAGCAGGAUGCUGAAUCUUGAGUUACGUGUUGAGAGAAGAGAAAGAGAAGGAGGAACUGAGGAGGAGCCAGCCAAGGCGGGGGUCUGCUGAGCUGGCGGAAUGUGGCAGGGCUGGGACGCUACAGAAGUAAAAGUGAUACUAAGUGACAAGAACAAGCAGUUGGAAAAAGUCUGUCUUAAAAGGAGGUUUGCAACAUACAAGCUUACAAUUACUAACUGCCCAGUGUUCACCAGUUCAGAUCCUGGGUGUGGACCUACA